ACUUGAAAAUGUGGAAGUGGCUUUGAAUCAGAUAAUGGGCAGAGCUUGGAAGAGUCUGGAAGCCUCAGAAGAAGACAGGAAAAAAAGGGCCUCACUGCCUGAGAGCUUAUACAAUGUUUGAUCUACCAACAUGGUGCUCUGUAUCAUAUCACUUGAGACCUAAGGACCCACUUUAUGGUAAAGAAGGAAGACAGUGGGCACAUGACCACAGGACACAAUUGUCCUUUAACAUACCAUGCCACAUAGAAUAUCCUGCCCAAUAGAGUGAUGGAAUGGACUUUGAAGCUCAUCUCAGGUGCCAGCUUGAAGAUGAAACCCUUUGAGGAGAAGGCCCAGUACAUAUUAUAUACCAUAAGACACUUCUUCUAGAUGGGAUCGAACUUCCUCCUUUCGCUCAGAGAGGUUUGAUUGUCUGAAGCCUUCUUCUCUCAACUUGUCAAAGUCAUUCUCCAUCUAGGUUUGUCCGUUGCUGAAAACGUCCUAAUAAGAAGAUAAGGUGACCGAAUAAGGGGAUUACUUGGCAGAGAUAUGAGAGAACUGGGUUCUUGACCCCACUUUGCCAUGAACUUGGGCAGAGGAGCCUUUCCCUGUGGCCACCACUGCCUUCAGCCCAUAAGGGAGUUUUUCCAGGCUACCUCCGAUGAUCACUUAAAGCUCAACAGCUCUUCAUUCAGCUUGUGAGAUAGCCAGUCAUGGGACUGCUGGAUCAACUGGUAGGUACUAUUUUUAGUUAUUUGAGAAAUCUCUUACUGUUUUCCAUAGAGGUUGCACUGGUUUACAUUCCCACCAAUAGUGGAUAACUGUUCCCUUUCCUCUGCAUCCCUGCCAACAUCUGUUGUUUUUUGACUUUUUUAUGAUAGCCAUUUUGACUGGUGUGAGAUGGUAUCUCGUUGUGAUUUUAAUUUGAAUUUCUCUGAUAAUGGGCAAUUUUGAACAUUUCUUCAUGUAUUUAUUGGGCAAUUGUAUGUUUUCUUUUGAAAAAUCUCUGUUCAUGUCCUUUGCCCACUUUUUAAUAGAGUUGUUUGUUUUUUCUUGCUGAGUUGAGUUCCUUGUAGAUUACUGAUAUUAGUCCUUUGUCAGAUGCAUGGUUUGCAAAUACUUUUUCCUAUUCUGUGCAUUGUCUCUUUACUCUGUUGCCUAUAUUUUUUGCUGUGCGGAGCUUUUUAGUUUAAGUCUCAUUUGUCUGUUUUUGCUGCAUUUAAUUUCGAGUUAUUAGUCAUAAAUUCUUUGCCUAGACCAAUGUCCA
rnacentral:lncRNA from 10 species